AAACCAUGCAUUAGGCAUUUUCUAAUUAACUCAUUGAAUUACUCCCAUGCUUCAUGUAAUGUUUCAUCCUCAGAUUGCCUAAAGGACAUAAAAUCAUUCCUCAAUUU
rfam:Gossypium raimondii chromosome 5, whole genome shotgun sequence.